UCGAGCUUCCCACCCAUGAUCGCCGCCUGGUGCAGUGCUGGCAGGAGGGAAAGAUGCCUGCAACAGGGGCUUUCCCAGCAGGGGCUGGUGCGCUAAUUGCUUUCCCUCACAGCCUUCAUAUUGCACAAAAGGAAGGAAAGCCUCUGCGAUACAGGGCUCCUGUCCCAUAACCAUAAUCGAGCUGCCAGCAGCGCUAGCCUUUGGAAAGUCAUGAGUCAGUUCCCUCUCCUCUUGCCCUGCCAAACCAUGAGGCUGGCAGCUUCCCACCAUCAGCCUGAUCCAAAUAAUGCCUUCCCUAGAAGAGAGCGAGCGGACCACCAGGAGCUGUGACCUGAAGGCAUACAGAGACAUGAAACAGCCUUUCCAGAACCAAAGGUAUAUUCCCAAGCGAAUCUGACCAUUUCCAGUUAAACUGUCUACUCCUUUGGCUGGAAAGAAAAAACAACUCACUAGCUAAUGGCUGGGUUAGAAAACAAGAAUAGCAGACAGGACAUGUCUAGUAUUCUUCACUCUGAAAGAGUCAAUGGUGCUGAACAUGAUUAUACCUUACAGCUACUGCAAGGGGUAACUACCGAAGCAGACUUACGCAGC